rnacentral:rRNA from 1 species
UNNNACUCCAAACCCAUGUGACCAUACCAAACUGUUGCCUCSGCGGGGUCACGCCCCGGGUGCGUCGCAGCCCCGGAACCAGGCGCCCGCCGGAGGGACCAACCAAACUCUUUCUGUAGUCCCCUCGCGGACGUUAUUUCUUACAGCUCUGAGCAAAAAUUCAAAAUGAAUCAAAACUUUCAACAACGGAUCUCUUGGUUCUGGCAUCGAUGAAGAACGCAGCGAAAUGCGAUAAGUAAUGUGAAUUGCAGAAUUCAGUGAAUCAUCGAAUCUUUGAACGCACAUUGCGCCCGCCAGUAUUCUGGCGGGCAUGCCUGUCCGAGCGUCAUUUCAACCCUCGAACCCCUCCGGGGGUCCGGCGUUGGGGAUCGGGAACCCCUAAGACGGGAUCCCGGCCCCGAAAUACAGUGGCGGUCUCGCCGCAGCCUCUCAUGCGCAGUAGUUUGCACAACUCGCACCGGGAGCGCGGCGCGUCCACGUC